rnacentral:rRNA from 1 species
CCGGUACGAGGACAGUGUCAGGUGGGCAGUUUGACUGGGGCGGUCGCCUCCUAAAGAGUAACGGAGGCGCCCCAAGGUUCCCUCAGAAUGGUUGGAAAUCAUUCGAAGAGUGCAAAGGCAGAAGGGAGCUUGACUGCGAGACCUACAAGUCGAGCAGGGACGAAAGUCGGGCUUAGUGAUCCGGUGGUACCGCAUGGAAGGGCCAUCGCUCAACGGAUAAAAGCUACCCUGGGGAUAACAGGCUUAUCUCCCCCAAGAGUCCACAUCGACGGGGAGGUUUGGCACCUCGAUGUCGGCUCAUCGCAUCCUGGGGCUGAAGUAGGUCCCAAGGGUUGGGCUGUUCGCCCAUUAAAGCGGUACGCGAGCUGGGUUCAGAACGUCGUGAGACAGUUCGGUCCCUAUCUGUCGUGGGCGUAGGAAAUUUGAGAGGAGCUGUCCUUAGUACGAGAGGACCGGGAUGGACGUACCGCUGGUGUACCAGUUGUUCCGCCAGGAGCACCGCUGGGUAGCUAUGUACGGAAGGGAUAAGCGCUGAAAGCAUCUAAGCGUGAAGCCCCCCUCAAGAUGAGAUUUCCCAGU